rnacentral:rRNA from 1 species
GACGAACGCUGGCGGCGUGCUUAACACAUGCAAGUCGAACGGUAAGGCUCCAGCUUGCUGGGGUACACGAGUGGCGAACGGGUGAGUAACACGUGGGUGACCUGCCCUGCACUUCGGGAUAAGCCUGGGAAACUGGGGCUAAUACCGGAUAGGACCGCACCGUGAGGGUGUGGUGGAAAGUUUUUUCGGUGUGGGAUGGGCCCGCGGCCUAUCAGCUUGUUGGUGGGGUAAUGGCCUACCAAGGCGGCGACGGGUAGCCGGCCUGAGAGGGUGGACGGCCACAUUGGGACUGAGACACGGCCCAGACUCCUACGGGAGGCAGCAGUGGGGAAUAUUGCACAAUGGGCGGAAGCCUGAUGCAGCGACGCCGCGUGGGGGAUGACGGCCUUCGGGUUGUAAACUCCUUUCACCAUCGACGAAGGGUUUCUGACGGUAGAUGGAGAAGAAGCACCGGCUAACUACGUG